rnacentral:rRNA from 1 species
AACGGCCGUACCAUGCUGAAUAUACCGGUUCUCGUUAGCUCACCGAAGUCAAGACUCAUUGGGCCCGGUCAGUACUUGGGUGGGUGACCACCUGGGAACACCGCGUGCCGUU